AACGAACGCUGGCGGCAUGCCUAACACAUGCAAGUCGAACGAGACCUUCGGGUCUAGUGGCGCACGGGUGCGUAACGCGUGGGAAUCUGCCCUUGGGUUCGGAAUAACAGUUGGAAACGACUGCUAAUACCGGAUGAUGACGUAAGUCCAAAGAUUUAUCGCCCAGGGAUGAGCCCGCGUAGGAUUAGCUAGUUGGUGGGGUAAAGGCCUACCAAGGCGACGAUCCUUAGCUGGUCUGAGAGGAUGAUCAGCCACACUGGGACUGAGACACGGCCCAGACUCCUACGGGAGGCAGCAGUGGGGAAUAUUGGACAAUGGGCGAAAGCCUGAUCCAGCAAGGCCGCGUGAGUGAUGAAGGCCUUAGGGUUGUAAAACUCUUUUACCCGGGAUGAUAAUGACAGUACCGGGAGAAUAAGCCCCGGCUAACUCCGU
rnacentral:rRNA from 1 species